UACAGAGGGGGCAAGCGUUAUUCGGAAUUAUUGGGCGUAAAGGGCGCGUAGGCGGCCGGACAAGUGGAAGGUGAAAUCCCCGAGCUCAACUCGGGAACUGCCCUCCAAACUGUUUGGCUUGAGUCCGGGAGAGGUGAGUGGAAUUCCCAGUGUAGCGGUGAAAUGCGUAGAUAUUGGGAGGAACACCAGUGGCGAAGGCGGCUCACUGGACCGGAACUGACGCUGAGGCGCGAAAGCGUGGGGAGCGAACAGG
rnacentral:rRNA from 1 species